rnacentral:lncRNA from 1 species
UAUAUAUAUAUACAUACGUAUAUACCCAUCAUCAUCAUCUCACCAACCCAUCAUCAUCAUCACCAGCUCAUGCGCACUCCCUACUCGCACAUGGCUGGGUCAUCACCGGGUUAUGCGCACUCCCUACUCGCACAUAACCAGGUCAUCACCGGGUUAUGCGCACUCCCUACUCGCACAUAACUGGGUCAUCCUCAGCUUAUGCUCACUCCCUACUCGCAGAUAGCCGAGUCAACAUAAUUACACAACAUUAUAUUCAAGCAUAUAUGUAUAUCAACAUAAUGCAGCCACAUAGAAAUCCAUAAUAACCAC